GGAUGUGAGGACGAUCUGGCUGCGACAUCUGUCACCCCAUCGAUCACCAGGGUUGAUUUGGCUGAUCUGGCUGGCUAGGCGGGUGUCCUCUUCCUCCCUCACCGGUCCAUGUGCGUCCCUUCCAAAGCUGAGCGCUCGGUCGAAGAGGACAACAUUCCCCUAUAGAGGAGGACCGUUCUUCCAUCAAGGGUAUACGAUUAGCUGCGCUCCCCUGCUAGAACCUCCAAACUAGCUCUCAAGGUCCAUUUGUAGGAAAACGUAGGGUAGUCUAGCUUCCAAGACUCCAGACACAUCCACAUGAGGCGCUGCAAGUGGCAGUUGCCUUUCUUU
ensembl:misc_RNA 7SK 7SK RNA